UGAUAUGCUUGUCUCAAAGAUUAAGCCAUGCAUGUCUCAGUGCAAGCCGCAGUAAGGUGAAACCGCGAAUGGCUCAUUAAAUCAGUUAUGGUUCCUUGGAGCUGACAGUUUACUUGGAUAACUGUGGUAAUUCUAGAGCUAAUACAUGCACUCAGUUCCGACCGGCGACGGGAGGGACGCUUUUAUUAGAUCAAAACCAAUCGGCCCUCGCUCGCGGGGGCCGCGCGGUUUGGUGACUCUGGAUAACUUUGGGCGGAUCGCACGGUCUCCGCACCGGCGACGCACCCUUCAAAUGUCUGCCUUAUCAACUUACGAUGGUAGGCUCGGCGCCUACCAUGGUCGUAACGGGUGACGGGGAAUCAGGGUUCGAUUCCG
rnacentral:rRNA from 1 species